CUGGGGAAAUACUCAGAACAGAACCACUGCAAGCGUGCCUAAGGGAGAAUUUGGUUAAGUUAACCUAGCUGUUCUCCGGUCCCAUGUGGCUAAGAUGAGUCUCAGUGGGGGCAGGGUUUCUUCAUGACUGGAGGAUCCUUUAAAAAAAAAACAUGUCUGGCCCAGAGAUAUCUACUAUUAUUUAAAUAUAGUCAAUUAUUAUUAAUAUGUUAUUAAAUUAAUCAGUAAUAAAUUAAUUAAUAAUAUUAAAUAGGAUACAGUAUUACUUAAUAUCUAUAGCCAACACUGUCAUUUGGGGACCAACAGGCUAGACUCUCCCUAUUAGAGAGCUUAAUCUGAAGGCUCAAUGUUGAAAUGAGUCUUCCUAAACAGCCUUUAAAAUGUCCUCAGUGAUGGUGUGAGACUGGCUCUUCUUUGACACAGGUUCUUCUUCAAAUUCUCCUCAGCAUCCACACUCUUGCUUAUUCCCUUAUUUAUUUGUUCAGCAGACACUGCGUUCCUAUUCUGAGCUCCAAUGGGGGGAGGGGGAGAUCAUGUGCUCACCAAGGAGUAACUGCUCUCCUGGGGUUGUGCCCUGAAGAGUAGGUGAUGGGUCCUUUUUAUCUGAUAACUGGUGUUCUCUGCUGGGGGAUGAAGGAAGGGUAAAAUCAGAAGUAGUUGGUUUUGUGCACUUAAUCCUCUUCCAACAAAAGUCUCAUGUGAAGGGACUGGGUUGGCAGAUGGUUCAGAGAGCACAGCAGAAGAAGUACAAGCAGAGGAAGGUCAGGAGGGGCCGGAAGGGGGAGGCAAACAGCAAAAGGUCUCAGCAUUCCUUCAGCCAUUGUGAUGAGCUUUGGAUGUGAUGCUAAGCAUGGUUGCCAGGGUUACCCAAAGAUUAGAAGUAAGAUAAAGUGUGUCCUCCAGGAGGUGUGCAGCGCUACGUGGAGAAAGAGCAUGACGAGUUUGGAGAUGCUCCUCAGGAGGAAAACCAGAAGCUGAUACUCCCUUGUGACGUGAAAUAAAACUGCAAGCACCAUCUGUGCA
rnacentral:lncRNA from 1 species